UUACUUUUUUUAUUUCUUUUGUUUGUUUGUUUAUAAGGCUGUUCGCGUGACCUUUGACCACUUUAAUUCUUUAAAAACCGGUACAAAAAAAUCGGUACAAAAAAUUGAUUAUAUACAUAGCGUGUGUUUUUUUUCCUUCUCUUUCUCUUAAACGCAAAUCUAUUAACCUCUCUAUAUAAGCCCGCACACUCUCACCUCUCACCCCUCCUUUACACGAAUUUAUCUCUCUAAUGUCCAAACCCAUGUCCAAACAUCUCUUUCUUUCUCAUCUGCGAAACACUAAUAAUACAUCCUUCGCUCACCAUUUUCAUUUCUUCCUACCUUCCAUAUAAGGAGGGAGUUAGGCUCAUCUUUGUUCGAUUUUGAGCAGAUUAAUUGGUUUUAGCCUUAGGUUAUGCCUCCUCAUUCCUCAGGUGGUGUUGUUGAAGAAGAAAGCUCACUGAAACGAGUGGAAUCGAAAAAGAAGUUGCAGAAAAUUUAUUGCUGUAAAUUUUGCAUUUUAUCGUAAGUCCCCUAGAGAGGAUAGGACAAAACAGUCAAUGUUAUCCGGAACAACUUGUAUUUUUUAAAAUUAAGCUAACUGUAUUCUUAUUUGAAGUACAUAUGAAUAAGUUUGAACUCAUUAACAAUAUGUAUUUCUAUUCGAUGUAGUUCAGAUAUGAGAAGUUUGAGUUCAUUAACAAUAUGUAUUUCUACAUUUGAUGUAGUUAAGAUAUGAGCAAGUUUGAGUUCACUAACAAUUUGUAUUUAGUUCUGAGCUCCUUAACUGUAUGAAUUUUUACAUGUAUAUUUUUCUCUCUUCCCCUUCUAUUACUUCAUCUUCUCCAUCAUAUUCUUUAUGUGGCAAAUAGGCCAUGGAUUAACAAUUUCCAAAUAGGACAAAACUACUCAUCUUUAUAGGUUAAAUAGGGCCGAAACAAGUGGGCCAAAAAAAUCACGUUCUAUGGUGCAUGCCAAAGGCGCAAAUCUUGUGAAGUUAUUUUCCAUGCGGCCCCAUGGUGCGUUGAUGAAAGGCCUUGGUUUGGUCACGUCUAAUUCUAUUCAUAAUAUGUGAGUGGGUUCUACUAUAAUGAUACAAAACGGAUUUUUUCGGUAACAUUCUCCUUCUGUUACCUUAUAUUGUAAAUUAUUACAUAAAAAGAAAAAACAAAUAAGAAAUAAAAACUAAAAAGAAAAAACAAAUAAAAAAUAAAAACUAACCCUAAACAAAACAAAACAAAAAGUUAGCCCUAAACAAAACAAAACAUGAACCUUAAAGAAAAGAAAACGGAAAAGAGGAGGAGCUCCCAUCUAAAGAGUUUGUUGGUCGCGGUCUUCGCUGACUAAGGUUUGCUGCGCCAUCAAAUUUCGGCGCCGUGGUUUUGGGUUCUUUUCUGGCCACGAUUUGAGGAUCACCGUUUUGCUUCGCCUUUUGGGUUUCGUUGGUAGCUAUCUUUGGCUGAGGUGGGUGCGAUUUGCAGUGCUGGUGUUGUCGAAUUUGGUAGGUUGUAGGUUAUUGGAUAUGAGUUGAUAUUGAUUGCACUUGAUUGUACCGUGGGUGGUGUGGCCAAAUUGGGUGUUUGAGGUAUGAAAAAUAGCAGCAGCGCCGUUUAAUUCCAAUACUCCAUCAUCGUUGUUUUAUUUUUCUGGCGUGGCAAUAGCAGUCAUCUCACCGGUGGGUUGCUGCACUGUUUCGUGGUACAAUGAGAGUGUUGCUUGUGCUUCGGCAAUAGCAGUCUUCUCACCUUCAAUCAAUUAGGCAUUUCUAGGUUUCGAACAGAGAAAGAAAAGCAUAAAUAGUGGGAAGAAGGUUCAAUUUUGCAACUAGAUUUUCUCAGAAGAAUGACAAAACCAUAACAGGUGAGUCCUUUCUACCAUUGUCUAUGUUUAAUUUUAGACUAGAGAUGUAAGGGAGUACCCAAAGGCUUUGCCAAUUGUGCUGCACGUGUAGGCACACAUGCAUUACAAUUGAGAUGAUAUAACUGGUCAUUUCGGAUUCUAACUUUGUGCAAGAAUCCAAACUUUCUUUCAAUUUCCACAUUUUCUUCGUAACUAACCCUAACUUCAAAAUAUAACUGAAACCACACCAAUUCCAAAUACUAAUAGAAAUAGAAAUACUGAUAAAAUUUCAUAAACCCCAACUUCAAAGACUCCUUUUUUCCUCAUGCACUGUAUAAGAUAGUUCUAAACAAUACUAUAUAUGCUUAAGUCACUUUGUUUUGUUGUCCCAUGUCGAAUAACUAAUGUCACACAUAAAUUUAACUAAAUUCAGCAUAAUCCUACAAAAACAGGUAUUCAUAUAGUGCCAACUAACUAAUGUCAAACAUAAAUUUAACUCUAUUCAACAUAUUAUUUGAAAUUAAUUUUUGCAUUAAAAUUUUAAGAUCCUGUAAAAUUUAAGAUCAUGCAAUUCCGAGGUAGUAUGAAAUAUGAUGAUGGAUGUAAUAAACUUGGCAUCAAGCUUGUAAGUAUAUUUAAAGUCUUAUUAUCAUCUCUGUUUUAUAAGUUCACUUCUCAUUAUGAACUUAUAAACUAGGAAUAUCAAAUGGGAAAGAAAAGCAUGUGGUGGGAAAGAAAAGCAUGUGGCCAAGCGCGAUGAAAAAAAGAAAAAACAUGCUGCCAAAACCAAAUGAGAUGAACCAAAUAAAUUUUUUUUACCCAAAUGCGGUCUAAAAAAGAAGACUGAUGUGUCCAAACACAAGGGAAAAAGAAUUGUUUUGGAUAAUGGAAGUAAUUCUGAUGAUGCCUUAUACUCUCCUUCGGCUACUUCUCUUUCUGAAUCAUCAAGUAGUACCGAUGAGGUUCAAGGUGGAACAUUUUGAAGCAUAGACAAGUUAUUGGUGGAUCGAAGCAUAGUGAGAGUUUGAUAAACAAUAUAGGAAUUUCGAAAUCGAAGCGAAAGGAAGGAACUGGAAGGCAUCAUGGACCGUACUUCUUCAAAUUUUGGAAAUACUAUCAAGAUAAUUGCAAAACAGAAAACCCUUAUAAGGAUUGGGAAAGCCUUGAUUAUAAACAAAUCAGUAAAGAUGCUGGAAAGCUUUGGAAUAAAACGAGUGAGAGUGAAAAACAGCCUUUCAAUGAUGAGUGGGAAAAAGAACAAGCGGAAAGCAAAAAAAUGCACCAAAACAAGCCCCUAAGUAGAAGAUGAGAAUGCAAAGAAAUGCCUUCAAUGGGAGGAAAAAAUGGGAGGCUUUGGACAUGGUCAGGUAAUGUUUUAUUUUUUAUUUUUUCUUCCUAAAUACUUGUAGUUUUUAAUUAAUUAAAGUAAACACCCCCAUACUUGUAUUCAUUUAUAUAACCGAGUUUAAAACACUACUGAUAGGCUCGUCCCAUAACGACAUGUACAACUGGUCAUGAAGUCCCUAUUACCGAUUAUUAUUCGUCACCCUCACAUUCUAUAUCUCGUAUGUCAUUUCCAUCUGCCGAUACAAGUUCGGAUUUAGAAUACGAGAUAAAUAUACAUUUCAUUAUGUUGUUGUUGUUGUUGUUAUUAUUUUCUUUUUAAAUUUUUUUUUUUUAAAGUUUACAUUACAUUAUGUUUAUUUCGUAUAUAUUUUUUUAUUGUUAAACCCCAACUUCUUACCUAUUAUCUGAUGUCUGCAGCGUUGUUUUCAAUAAUUGAAGAUGCACUUGCAGAAAAAUUAAAUAGCCUACCCAACUCUAUCUUUCUUAUCCCUCGUCCACUGGCUUUUUCAGGAGUUCAACCAAAUGUUUAUAAAUAUAACCAAAGCAAUUGUAAGUCUUAACUGAAUCAACAUUGUUCACAGAUUCAAAUUCCCUUAGGUGUGGGCAUUACUUAGACUAUUUGAUUUAAGGACCGUUGCACAUGCAAAUAGAACAAAUGUUCGCUUAAAAUCAUCUCCAACCUCGAGUUGUGUAACCUUGUUUUGCAAAGCACUUAGGUGCAUCCCUUCCGGAUUAUGAUCUCCACAUUUAUCUAUCUAUUCCGCUUCAACACCUUUACCUUUCGGCACGUCCGUCUCCCCACAAGGCAAGCCAAAGAUAAAAUUGACAUCAUGUGCCGAUAUAGAGAUAUAUUCAUUAUGGCUAA